UUUUUUUUUUUUUUGAUAAGUAAAUGCAAUUGUGUUAAGAAGGCCAAAAAAAUACACCUAAAAGUAUACACGAUGUAUACUUUUAAAAAAACCUAUCCCAACCAAUCAAUGAAAUCAAGUAAAGACCAUGAGUUAGAGCCAACAUUAAUUGGUAAAGACAACUUCUCACAGCUUAUAUAUUAAUUUCCUUUAAAACCUAAUAAGUAAUUCCAUAUUGCCAUGUCAACAUAACAAAAGAUAACAUCAUAAGAGGAUUAGGACACACAAUUUGUGGGAUCCCAUACAAAAAAUUAAAUGUUUCAAAUUUGAUUGAACUUUGAUGAAUUUAGUUCUUUGCUUUCAAUCAUC
rnacentral:lncRNA from 1 species